rnacentral:rRNA from 1 species
CAGUCGACGGACUCAUAUUGAAACCUAGUGAAGUAUGAGUUAGUGGCGGACGGGUGAGUAACGCGUGGAAAACCUGCCGUAUACUGGGGGAUAACACUUAGAAAUAGGUGCUAAUACCGCAUAAGCGCACAGCUUCGCAUGAAGCAGUGUGAAAAACUGAGGUGGUAUACGAUGGUUCCGCGUCUGAUUAGCUAGUUGGUGGGGUAAAAGCCUACCAAGGCAACGAUCAGUAGCCGGCCUGAGAGGGUGAACGGCCACAUUGGGACUGAGACACGGCCCAAACUCCUACGGGAGGCAGCAGUGGGGAAUAUUGCACAAUGGGGGAAACCCUGAUGCAGCGACGCCGCGUGAGUGAAGAAGUAUUUCGGUAUGUAAAGCUCUAUCAGCAGGGAAGAAAUACUGACCAUAGGGUCAGCAGACGGUACUUGACUAAGAAGCCCCGGCUAACUACGUGCCAGCAGCCGCGGUAAUACGUAGGGGGCAAGCGUUAUCCGGAUUUACUGGGUGUAAAGGGAGCGUAGACGGCAGCGCAAGUCUGAAGUGAAAUGCCAGGGCUUAACCCUGGAACUGCUUUGGAAACUGUGCAGCUAGAGUGCAGGAGAGGUAAGUGGAAUUUCUAGUGUAGCGGUGAAAUGCGUAGAUAUUAGGAGGAACACCAGUGGCGAAGGCGGCUUACUGGACUGUAACUGACGUUGAGGCUCGAAAGCGUGGGGAGCAAACAGGAUUAGAUACCCUGGUAGUCCACGCUGUAAACGAUGAUUACUAGGUGUUGGGGGAC